UGCCCUCUUUUGUUUAUUUGUUCAUAAAAAAUGUGGGACGAGGAGCGUCAGUUUGAGUCAAAGGCCGACGCCGGAGCUUCGAAGACUUAUCCAUCCGUAAGAACGGUUACAUUGUCAUCUCUUGCAAGGUGGUGGAAGUGUCUACUUCCAAGACUGGCAAGCACGGACAUGCCAAAGUGACAUCUUCACUGCAAAGAAGCUCGAGGAUAUUGUUCCCUCUUCACACAAUUGUGAUAUUAAGGAUGAAUUUGCUGAGGGCAAAGACCUAGUUGUGUCUGUCAUGGGUGAGGGAGGAGCAGAUUUGUGCACUCAAGGAUAUUGGUCCAAAGUAAAUUCGUUAAGAGCGGUUGCACAUCAAGAUUGUGGAUCAACUUGUUCAAGAUAUUUAUUAUCUUGAUGAUAUCAAUAUCUGUUUAUGUUAAAGGUUUAGUCUCAUCUCCGCACUGGCCUUGAAUGCUUCUUAUAGCGUAGUUGAGACAUGGCGUCUUGAAUUAGCGCAUCAAAGUUCAAACUGGACUUGAAUUCUUCUUAUAGUGAAGUCGAGUUUUGGCAUCGUA